GAUGAACGCUAGCGGCAGGCCUAACACAUGCAAGUCGAGGGGGAGGUUACUUUCGGGUAACUGAGACCGGCGUACGGGUGCGUAACGCGUAUACAAUCUGCCUUUCACUGGGGGAUAGCCCGAAGAAAUUUGGAUUAAUACCCCAUAGUAUAGGAGCACGGCAUCGUGAUACUAUUAAAGCUUAGGUGGUGAAAGAUGAGUAUGCGUUCUAUUAGCUAGUUGGAGAGGUAACGGCUCCCCAAGGCGAUGAUAGAUAGGGGUUCUGAGAGGGAUGUCCCCCACACUGGUACUGAGAUACGGACCAGACUCCUACGGGAGGCAGCAGUGAGGAAUAUUGGACAAUGGUCGGAAGACUGAUCCAGCCAUGCCGCGUGCAGGAUGACGGCCUUAUGGGUUGUAAACUGCUUUUGUAAGGGAAGAAUAAGGAGUACGUGUACUUUGAUGACGGUACCUUACGAAUAAGCAUCGGCUA
rnacentral:rRNA from 1 species